rnacentral:ncRNA from 1 species
AAACAUAAGAGUUUGAUCCUGGCUCAGAUUGAACGCUGGCGGCAUGCUUUACACAUGCAAGUCGGACGGCAGCACAGAGAAGCUUGCUUCUUGGGUGGCGAGUGGCGAACGGGUGAGUAACAUAUCGGAACGUACCGAGCAGUGGGGGAUAACUAAUCGAAAGAUUAGCUAAUACCGCAUAUAUUCUGAGGAAGAAAG